UCACAUGGGCAUUUUCGUCAUUUUUCUUCAAAAAUACCGAAACUCGCCAAAAACAUGGUGUAAAAGCUAAAUAUAUUCAUACAUACUUUAAAUCAAAUAACUGAAGAAUAAAAUUACUUUUACAGUGACACGUGGGCCCCCAACUGACUAAAAAGAUGUAAGGCUACGAACUCUUACUUUCUAGGAUGCAACUCCGAGAUUAAUUCUCAUCUUAAUCAACUAUCAACAAACUGUCCUGAGCCUGAAAAAUGGAUAGGAAGAGGGGUGAGAUUAUGAUUACAUAAUCUCAGUGAGUAAACAAUUACCAUCAAAAGCAUCUAAAGCCAAGUAAAUGGAGACAAUAUAAAAACGUUAUAUCUCAAUAAUGUUCAUAACACAAAUUUCGUUUCAAUCUAUACCAAACAAUUUAUUUUCAUCAAAAUUUCUCGGCUUAUGAAUUUCUUAAACUUGGCCCCUGCUAGAUUCAUUCUCGCGGGUACCUUUGUCAAGGUAUCCCACUGAGACCGUCAAGGCUGUUCAAUGACCCAUACCCAUAAACAUGUUUUCACAUCUGACACACAGCCGUUCCUUGGCGUUGGCUAAGUCUCACUCUCACGUGGUGGCCCGAACGUGAGGUGCACUCAAAUCAUACCUCAGGAGAUACUUCACCCAACAUCUCCCCCCGGAGGUAAGUAUCUAAUUGAGUUACCGUGCCCCUCUCAUAGGCAGUCCAAGGAAACCCCCACCACUGCAGUGACCGUUUAAUAUACCACAGACCCAUAAAAAUUUCAGUAGCAUAAUAUGGCGAAUAAAAUGUUAUCCAGUCUACCGAGACCAAUCCAAAACUAUUCAUAUAUUUCAUGCCAACCCUAAAAAUUUAGCCAUCAUGCUACCAUAGUGUCAUAAGCCCCAAUUUCAAUAACAUAUAAAAUCAUAAAUUUCAACACAGUCUCCAUAUACUCAAUUUUCCCAAAACAAUAUUUGAUUUCAAAACCAGUAUAAAUCUCAUUUUUAUUAAAAAAACAUUUUAAUUAGAAAACAUAAUAUUUAAUAAUUUAAGCUCACCAUUCAAUAAAAACAUCAAACAAGUAUAAUUACUCUAGAUAUUUAAGAUGAUAAAUUGUCCACUCACAGUUCUAGGAGUCGAUAUACUCUUAACU
rnacentral:lncRNA from 1 species